AAAAAACGAAAACAUUAAACGUCUGCUUUAAAUCUACAAUUCUUGUAACACGAGGAAUUUGCCUUUCGUCAUAUUUCAGAAGGACAAAUCGUAUAGUAAAUACGUUUUUUUUUUACGGAAGGCCUCCUCAGUACUUUCUUACGAUGUACCAGAUACUUCAUUUGGCAACAACUUGGAGAUAUUAUCACGCAAAUAUCUUAUCAAAGCUGGUGAUUCUAAACACCCACGCAUAAACAAAGAAGACGGUUCCAUGCUUCUAUAUUUCAUGUUUUUUUGACUCGGAUGUUUUUGUGCUUUGAUGUUAACAUUGUGGCUAUAAAUUUAAUAUGCAAUAUCCAAGCAAUUUUAUUGAUUCCAUAAAAUAAAGCCAUUGGCCAUCUCAUUGUCUUACUACUAUUGAACAUCAGGGAACACAUUCGGUCUAAUGCAUCUACUUCGCCUUUUGCUUGAAUGUAAUAUAUCAUCUUUGCUUUGUACCUCAUCGGGAAAAGCUUCUUCUGUGUCACUUUGCUCGUCAUUUUCAAUUUCGUGGUCCUCCUACUUCCCUAUCGGUUUCUUCACAGGGACCCUCAUCGCUUUGCAUAAGAGCGGCUAGUAUACAAUAUUCUUCCAAUUUUCUAUCCCCAAUUGUUUUCUAUAUUUGCUUCAAUAUGUAUAAAAAUAAAUUUUUAACAUAAGUCACAAUAUACAGUAAAAAUAAGCUAAAAAAUAUUCAAACUACCAUAGAAGUCAAAAUCUUAAAAGUCACGGUAAAGAUAAUCAUGCGUAAUUUUGACUCACGUAGUCGUUAUAUUUCAAAAUUGGUUACUCUAACUUUAUUGAGACGUAUACCAUAGGGUAGCUCUUAGUGACUUAUGAAAUGUCCUAUAAGCACAGUUAUGGAUUCGCGACAUUUAAAAAGAUAAAGCUAUAUUUCGAAAACGCAGGAGUCAUUUUGACGCAGACUAUCUUUCUAGGGUUAAAU